rnacentral:rRNA from 1 species
GAUGAACGCUAGCGGGAGGCCUAACACAUGCAAGCCGAGCGGUAUUGUUUCUUCGGAAAUGAGAGAGCGGCGUACGGGUGCGUAACACGUGUGCAACCUGCCUUUAUCUGGGGGAUAGCCUUUCGAAAGGAAGAUUAAUAAUCCAUAAUAUAUUGAACGGCAUCGUUUAAUAUUGAAAGCUCCGGCGGAUAGAGAUGGGCACGCGCAAGAUUAGCUAGUUGGUGAGGUAACGGCUCACCAAGGCGAUGAUCUUUAGGGGGCCUGAGAGGGUGAUCCCCCACACUGGUAUUGAGACACGGACCAGACUCCUACGGGAGGCAGCAGUGAGGAAUAUUGGUCAAUGGGUGCAAGCCUGAACCAGCUAUCCCGCGUGAAGGACGACUGCCCUAUGGGUUGUAAACUUCUUUUGUAUAGGGAUAAACCUACCCUCGUGAGGGUAGCUGAAGGUACUAUACGAAUAAGCACCGGCUAACUCCGUGCCAGCCGCCGCCGUAA